rnacentral:rRNA from 1 species
CUUUAGACUGGAACAACUUACCGAAAGGUGAGCUAAUGCCGGAUGAGUUAUAUAAGUGCAUGUUUAUAUAGGAAAAGUUGGGGAGACCUGACGCUGAAAGAUGGACUCGCGUCCCAUUAGCUAGUUGGUAGGGUAAUGGCCUACCAAGGCGACGAUGGGUAGCCGGCCUGAGAGGGUGGCCGGCCACACUGGGACUGAGACACGGCCCAGACUCCUACGGAAGGCAGCAG